rnacentral:rRNA from 1 species
UACGUAGGGCGCAAGCGUUGUCCGGAAUUAUUGGGCGUAAAGAGCUCGUAGGCGGUUUGUUGCGUCUGCCGUGAAAUCCCGAGGCUUAACCUCGGGCCUGCGGUGGAUACGGGCAGACUAGAGGUAGGUAGGGGAGAAUGGAAUUCCCGGUGUAGCGGUGAAAUGCGCAGAUAUCGGGAGGAACACCGGUGGCGAAGGCGGUUCUCUGGGCCUUACCUGACGCUGAGACGCGAAAGCGUGGAGAGCAAACAGG